GAAUAACAUUUGGCUUAUUUCUCUUCCCAUGAGAGUUGAAGUCCAUCUUAAAUAAUUAUCUUUUCCUGAUUGUUGGACUUUGUGGAUAACACCUCUAUUCAUAAAAUGAAAUGAUCCAUAAAAAUAAACUAAGUUAGAAAGCAACCAAAAUAGAGAAAUAACUUAGGAAUUUCAAUAAUCUACACUGACUAAUUAGACAAAAGUGCAAAAUAGGGGUCUUUAGCAAAAGAUUACAGCAUUAACUUAGAUAUCAAUAAUUAACAAAUUCGCAACAAUAGUGAUAAGGUGUAUCCUUUGUCUUGCAUUACAGCGCUUUGAACCUUUUGUCGCCUCCCACUCUUGGGUCCAAAUUUGAGCCUACAUAUAUAUGGUUAAAUUUGAAUUUAGUUAUACAGAUAUUAGUAUAUGAGUACAUAGUAUUAUUCACUAAAAUAUGUCUUCGCUAAAAAUAUGUCUUACUUGAUCGUUUUUGUGUCACUUGAAAAGGAGGAUAAGAUGGGUGAUAAGAUGUCAUUGGAUUUCCAUAUGCACUUGAGGGGGGUCUAACCUAAAAGGAAGAACAUUUGCAAUGAAGUCAAAUUUUUGCUAAAUCUAUAAAUUUGUAUUGACAAAUAAUCAAGUCAAGUUUAACUUACUGCUGUCACUUGAAAUGGAUAAGUGUAACCCAUAUGAUGUCCAGGUGAAUGAUAUCCAUGAAUCUAUAUAGGAUACAUUUGAAACCAUGUUAAAUACUCUUAUUUAAGCUAGCUUUACUCAAUAUGAAUAUGGUUUACCUGUGCAUUAGAUGGUCUGACAGAGUAACUUAAAGAAGUUGGAUUAUGCAUUGCCCCUCUUACUUGAAUGUGCUCCUGGAUAAAAAAAAACAAGAACCAUGAAAUUCUUUUUUUUUUGUCGCAAAUAUAUUUAUAUGAAAAAUACCAAAAAGAAUAUUUAAAAUGCAAUUUAAUAUUAUUACCUGCCCUCGAACAUAACUAGUUUCACCUGUCUCAUACUGUGGAUUAUUCUUUCUUGGUUGCUGCUCAUAUCUGUAACCUUUCCUAUGUGUUGGUUCUUUCCCUCUUUGUCUACGGUCUUUUGGGUCUUUCACCUUUUCUUGGUGUAACUCAUUGUUAUUUGCAUCAUUUCUUUGAACGUCAGUUUCGGAUUGAGGUGGGUGUCUUCCAUACACCUUUCCAAUCGUGGUAACAGUAUUUGGUCCUUCACAUUGUUUUGCUGAUGCCUUUACUUGUUCUUUUGCAGCUCGUAAACUUUCCAGAAACAUUAUAUACAGCUUAUCGUCCAUAGUUGCUAUAGAAGAAAUCUCCUCAAAUUCUUUAUGCAAAUCAAGGUUGAAUUCCAACUCCAACUACAAUUUCCUUUUUCUCUGCAAUGAAUUGAUUAUAUUCCACAAAGAGGAGCAACACGUGCUAAAGAGAUUAUGAGAAACCGAUGCUUUGAGUACAAAUGUAUUUUCUUGCCUAAUUACUUGUGUGUUUAAGUUCUCUUGAAAAUAUAAUGUACAGAAAGUUUUUUUAGCUAAAGUGCAAACUUUCAACUUGAGUUUAGGUUGUACAUUGUUACUCCAAAGUAGCAAGCUUAAGGUCAGUGAAUGGAAAAAAAAUGUCAGUGAAUGCAAAGAGUUUCACAUAAAUAA